UGAGCGACCUACCUAAUUGUGGGGAUAGCCGGCCCAACGGCCGGGUAAUACCGCAUACGAUCGGAGAGGGGCAUCCCUUUCUGAGGAAAGCCUUCGGGCGCAAUUUGAGGGGCUCGCGGCCUAUCAGCUAGUUGGCGGGUAACGCCCACCAAGGCGACGACGGGUAGCUGGUCUGGAGAGGAUGAUCAGCCACACUGGGACUGAGACACGGCCCAGACUCCGUACGGGAGCAG
rnacentral:rRNA from 1 species